UCAUUCUAUGGCAGUGGUUUUCAACCGC
rnacentral:piRNA from 1 species